CUUUUCUGGGAGUGUCCUAGGCUGUUUCGCGCUGAUGGAUUACACCCCAGCAGAAUCGGAGCGGAGCUGCUCUCUGACAACAUCUCCAGGACACUUCGCUCCAUGUGACUAGAUUUACACAAGAUCCAGUCUGGAUCCAGAACACCUGAGAAGAGAUGAUGCUGACCCUCAGAGGACCUCAGAUGAUGCUAACCCUGAAUCAACAAACAGAACUAACAAUUAUUGCUACAUGUGUGACUGCAUCAUAUAAUAAUUAUUAAUUAAUAAUAUUAAUAAUGUUCAUCGUCUAGCUGA